CUGCUGUCAGGGGCCUGCAGGCAGAAGAGCAGUGCCAGCCCUGCCCUGCUGGCCGAUAUUGCAGCAGGGCAGGAUUGUUUGAUCUGGCUCAGACGUCGCUGUGUAAUGCAGGGUACGUUUGUCUGGAAGGAAGCUCUGCUCCCUGCCCUUCUGAUGGGGUUUAUGGAUACAGAUGUCCUAGUGGCUUCUACUGUCCUGCUGGCACUGGACUAGAACUGCCCUGUGAGCCUGGCACCUUCAGCCCUAUGCCUGGGGCAAGUACAUGCCUCCCUUGUCCAGCUGGUAUGGCCUGCAGCCAUGCAGCCACUGCAGAGCCUCUCAGCUGCCCCAGAGGUUACUAUUGUCCAGCUAGGACUGCUGCUCCCCUGCCGUGCCCUGAAGGG
rnacentral:lncRNA from 1 species